rnacentral:rRNA from 1 species
GAUCAUGGCUCAGGAUGAACGCUAGCUACAGGCUUAACACAUGCAAGUCGAGGGGCAGCAUGAACUUAGCUUGCUAAGUUUGAUGGCGACCGGCGCACGGGUGAGUAACACGUAUCCAACCUGCCGAUGACUCGGGGAUAGCCUUUCGGAAGAAAGAUUAAUACCCGAUGGCAUAGUUCUUCCGCAUGGUGGAACUAUUAAAGAAUUUCGGUCAUCGAUGGGGAUGCGUUCCAUUUAGG